rnacentral:rRNA from 1 species
AGAGUGACCUGCUCAGAUUGCGCUGCGCAGGCCUACACAUGCAAUCGAGCGGAUGAAAGGAGCUUGCUCCUGGAUUCAGCGGCGGACGGGUGAGUAAUGCCUAGGAAUCUGCCUGGUAGUGGGGGACAACGUUUCGAAAGGAACGCUAAUACCGCAUACGUCCUACGGGAGAAAGCAGGGGACCUUCGGGCCUUGCGCUAUCAGAUGAGCCUAGGUCGGAUUAGCUAGUUGGUGAGGUAAUGGCUCACCAAGGCGACGAUCCGUAACUGGUCUGAGAGGAUGAUCAGUCACACUGGAACUGAGACACGGUCCAGACUCCUACGGGAGGCAGCAGUGGGGAAUAUUGGACAAUGGGCGAAAGCCUGAUCCAGCCAUGCCGCGUGUGUGAAGAAGGUCUUCGGAUUGUAAAGCACUUUAAGUUGGGAGGAAGGGUUGUAGAUUAAUACUCUGCAAUUUUGACGUUACCGACAGAAUAAGCACCGGCUAACUCUGUGCCAGCAGCCGCGGUAAUACAGAGGGUGCAAGCGUUAAUCGGAAUUACUGGGCGUAAAGCGCGCGUAGGUGGUUUGUUAAGUUGGAUGUGAAAUCCCCGGGCUCAACCUGGGAACUGCAUCCAAAACUGGCAAGCUAGAGUAUGGUAGAGGGUGGUGGAAUUUCCUGUGUAGCGGUGAAAUGCGUAGAUAUAGGAAGGAACACCAGGCGAAGGACCACCUGGAC